rnacentral:tRNA from 1 species
AGUUCAGCUGGGAGAGCACCUCCCUUACAAGGAGGGGGUCGGCGGUUCGAUCCCGUCA